UACGUAGGGGCCAAGCGUUGUCCGGAUUUAUUGGGCGUAAAGAGCUCGUAGGCGGUUCGGCAAGUCGAAUGUGAAAUCUCCACGCUCAACGUGGAGGGGUCAUUCGAUACUGCCGUGACUCGAGUCCGGUAGGGGAGUGUGGAAUUCCCGGUGUAGCGGUGAAAUGCGCAGAGAUCGGGAGGAACACCCGUAGCGAAGGCGGCACUCUGGGCCGGUACUGACGCUGAGGAGCGAAAGCGUGGGGAGCGAACAGG
rnacentral:rRNA from 1 species